CCAGCACCAAGCUCUGAAAUGCCCCCUCCAAAGAGCAGUGGGAUUAAGAACCCCAAUUCCUCAUGGGAUAAACCAGGAAGAAAAUGAGCUGACAGUGCUGGGAGCUGAGUUUUUGGAUUUAUUAUCAGGGAGCUGUGCCAAUCUCGUGCUGCCAGGGCUGGGAAGGUGCUGCUGCUGCUGCUGCUGCUUUGGAUUAAUUCAAUCCAGGGCAGAAAUCACCUGGCAUCACCAGAGGCACGGGCAGCGCUGUGAUCUCCUCCCUGGGAGCACAAGGAUGGACCCAACACACCUGGAGCAUCCCCGAGCCUUGAGCUGGAGAGAGCUCCAGCAUUCCCAUCAUCCUGGCACUCCAGAGGGAAAACACGAUUCUCCAGAGCAUAAAAGCACCUGAGGGCAGAGCCUGGCCUGAUCUGUGUGGUCCUGAGGGGACUGAAUUGCCAUGAACUCCCCAGGCAGAGCUUGUCCCCUUUGCUGUGCCACCAGAGCUUGGGACAACUUCUCAGCACCAGCCGGCUCUUGGGUGUCUGUGCCACUCAGAGCUGCUCCUCCUGCAGGGUUUGGCUCUUGUGUUCCCCUCUCCCGCUCUCCUGGAGCCACUUCAGGGGCUCUGAGCUCUCCCUGGAGCCUUCUCUUCUCCAGGUGAGCAUUCCCAGCUCUCCCAGCCUGGCUCCAGAGCAGAGGGGCUCCAGCCCUGCAGCAUCCCUGUGACCUCUCUGGGCCCAUCCAGCAGCUCCAGGUCCUUCUGGAGACCCCAGAGCUGGAGGUGGGGACUCACAAGGAUAGAGUAAAGGAGGACAAUCCCCUCCCUGGAGCUGCUCACCUGUGAUCUGUUGGUUCUGCUCCACAUUCCAGCGGGAAUCCGCGGCUCUCUGGGAUUCCAGGAGGCGUGAGGGGCUGGGAAGGGUGGGAAUGCUGAGCUCGUGCACCCCUGUAAUGAGGAUGAUUGAAGGCUGAGUGCAGGAUGAUACAGAACAAUAUCAGUAAGUGGUUUUAGUGUCAGCAAUCUUCAAACUCGCUGUCAAAGGGAACAUUUAAACGAUUUUCCUGCUACUCCAACGCAUCCAGGUUAUAUUUAUAUCCGGAGAAAACUGGUGCUAUAAAUGUCAGCUUUGGAGAAGGGCUGGCUGCAUCCAUCAGAGCAGGAAUUAGGAAGGAGGGAGGAAUGAUGGAUCAUUGCCAGCUGACGGACCUGCCUGCGAGGAAAAUCCCUGAGGCCUGAUCCAUGUCCCUGUCUGGGAAUAUCCCAGCCCAGUCCCAGGGUUUGGGACACUCUGUGUUUGUGGGGGCAGCAGGACAGGCCCUGAGCUGGCCAGAGCUUGGAGCUCGAGGUGCCUGAAGUGCUCAAAGCCAGAUUUCAGCAAAACACAGGAGAGCUGUAAAAAACAGACAGAAUUCUGUUUUGCUGCAGUGAGAAUAAAAAUAAAAGAGGUUGUAAAGA